UACAGAGGGGGCAAGCGUUGUUCGGAAUUACUGGGCGUAAAGGGCGCGUAGGCGGCCUUCUAAGUCGAACGUGAAAUCCCCGGGCUCAACCCGGGAACUGCGUCCGAUACUGAAAGGCUUGAAUCCGGGAGAGGGAUGCGGAAUUCCAGGUGUAGCGGUGAAAUGCGUAGAUAUCUGGAGGAACACCGGUGGCGAAGGCGGCAUCCUGGACCGGCAUUGACGCUGAGGCGCGAAAGCGUGGGGAGCAAACAGG
rnacentral:rRNA from 1 species